AUGCGCCAGCUUCACGGGGCGUAUGAUCUUCCUUGGUUAUUGAUCGGUGACCUCAAUGAAAUCCAAUCGCUUGAAGAAAAGGAUGGCGGUAACCCUCGGCCUCAACAAUAUAUGAUGGCAUUCCAAUCAGCAAUUGAAACCUGCGAGUUACGUGACCUCGGUUUUGUUGGGGAUUGGUUCACAUGGCACAGGGGAAGAAUUAGGGAAAGGUUGGACAGGGGUCUGAUUAAUGAGGCGUGGUCAGUGCUAUUCCCUGAAGCAGCUUUGGAGAAUCUGUAGUAUAAUCACAGCGAUCACCGACCUUUGCUAGUGAAUACGGAGUAUUAC
rnacentral:rRNA from 1 species